rnacentral:rRNA from 1 species
CAGUCGCCGCGGGAAUACAGAGGAUGCAAGCGUUAUCCGGAAUGAUUGGGUGUAAAGCGUCUGUAGGUGGCUUUUCAAGUCCGCCAUCAAAUCCCUGGGCUCAACCCUGGACAGGCAGUGGAAACUACCAAGCUGGAGUACGGUAGGGGCAGAGGGAAUUUCCGGUGGAGAGGUGAAAUGCGUUGAGAUUGGAAAGAACACCAACGGUGAAAGCGCUCUGCUGGGCCGACACUGACACUGAGAGACGAAAUCUAGGGGAGCAAAUGGGAUUAGAUACCCCCGUAGUCCCUGUCUCUUAUAC